GUUGGCGUAAAUUCAAUAAUUUGGAAUUUUUCAAAGAAGAAAUUACAUCGGCAUGCCACUAAAUACAAGUGGUUUGUGCACCAGACGCUACCUCCCUAGAGAAAUAUAUUUUUACUCGCCAAACCAGAGAUGAAAUGCGUGAGAAUGAAGAGCUGAAGAAGCUGGCCGAUAUGUGGCUUACCGAUGAUUUCAAGUUCGGAGAAUAUUCGAGAAGGAAACAAUCUAUACCUUAGAGGAAACUGUACAGCGGCUGGAGCUGAUGGCCUACCAACUGCGCUUUUAAAGGGACGCCGAAAAGCUGACAAUGAGAAAAGCAAGGUCAAAGAGAGCUUGCUCUCCUCAUUUCAAAAAAAGAGUAUUUCUUAGAUUUUAAAGCAAUCUAAAAGAGUGUGCAACUGCUGGCGUAUGCCAAGCAAGAUGACGCCCUCAUAGGCCUAGAAAACUGCAAAAAGGACGAAGGGAAUGGGUCUGGUAGUCAACAAAAAUAACUCAAAGUAUCUCCUGUCAUCAAGCAAACACGGUGACUAGGCUCCGACGUCACUGUCUGCGGUUUUAACAUCGAUGUCGAGGCGUAAUUAUUCUGUCUGUCUGCGUUGUAAAUACUUGCUGUGCUUAAGUUUCGGGGUCGCAGCUAGUAUCUUAUCGAAGCGAAGAUGAGCAUCUGCCGUCAACAAAGAUAAGUUAGUUUCAGAAUUCAUGAGCUGCUAUUAUUGUCGAUAACCAGCCCCAGUUGCUUUGACUGAAAGCAUUUGCACACAGUUUCGAUGACCUAGGAGCUUGACAUUGCAUAAAAUACAUUCAGAAACCACUUGAGAAAAAGUGGCUCGACUGAAUUUCCAUCUGCGAAUCGUAGCACAUGGUGACUGGUGAGCAUAGCUGAACCACAUACAGCAAAGUCAAGCGAUAACGGACGGGAUCGAAGGGCAGUGACCCAUAACAAGUGUAUUCCAAUCCAGAAUAGACGGUAAAGAAAGUUUUGUUUUGUGUUUGAUGGAAUCGGCAUGUAAUCAUCCACUUGGAGCUGCUCGUUUACAGCCCAACUCUUAAUUCGAACCUGUACUGUUAGCCAUCGGACCGUGCGAAGGAAGUAAACACCAGGAAGCUGAGAUGAAUUGGAUUUUAUCAGGACAACCUCAGAUCACACAAAUCUAAAGUGACUCACCAAAAGCUCAGAGAGCUGGGUUGCGAGGUUGCUAUGCAUCCACCACAUAGUCGGGGGGCGGAAUAAUUAAAAGAUUCAUAUCUAUUCCUGCCUAUAGAGUAUGAUUCAGCUGGUGAAAUGUCCUUAACAAAAGCCAGACAAAUUCGUUUGCUUAAAUGUUUUUGUCAAUAGAAACAAAAGACCUCAGUUUAAUGCAGAAAUAAUAGAUCGUUCUUUGUUGGAAAAAUACUAAAGAAAUCUGUAGUCAAAAAGGAAUUUAAUAUUGUACAAAAUUAUGACAAAAACACAUCUUUAUAUGAACAUAUUUAAAUUGCUGUUAAAUGAUAGCUAAUGAAUUAAACAUUUCCGACAACCACCGGAUGUGGAUGCCGAAAAAAAAAACAAAUUUGUAAUUUUAUACCGCAAAUGUGGUAUUUCAUAGUGCACAGUGCAGGCUGAAAGUCAUUUUGUAGCUGAUUUAAAGGAGAUAAAGAAAAUUCCAACAAAAGUGAAAUUAAUACGACAGCGUUAAUUUGUUUAGCAACGGUAUAUUUUUCAUAUGUACUUAAAGCUAAUUUUUGGAAAAAUAUAUUUAAUCUUCGGCUUAUUUAUAUUUAUAAGCUUGCAUAUAAUGUUAGUAUGUAUGUAUUUACUGAGCUGCAUAUUUGAGAAGUUAUUUAUCUAAGAAAACCAAUUAAAAUAUUGUAUUUAUCCAUGGAAUGCAUUAGCUUGAUGGUUUUUGCAACAAAAGAAAAAUAAAUAAUUAUAUUAAGUCUUCGGACUAAUUGCGCUUGAUUAAAUAACUUAAAGCAUUAAAUAUAGGCAAAUAUUUGCACCGUAAU
rnacentral:lncRNA from 1 species